UUGGAGGAAGCUGCAGCUAGGAGCCUCUGCAGUGCCAUGGAGCCCAGCCCUGAGCAACAUAACCAGGAAGGUACCAAGUGUCUUCCAUCAGACCCUCCAGUGGCUCAAGGGGUGCUGUAGGGGAUGUCUGUGAUUUUCAACCUGAAGUCCCUGCUUGCAGUUAUAAGGUCCUGAAUCUUGAUCCGUGGCUUCUCCUCACUAUGGAUUGAUCUUCAAAGAUCAAUUUUACUGUGGAGGAUGGAAACAUUCUGUAAUGGGAACGGGGCUCUGAAUAGCAGUGUCUUACAAUGAAACCCCAUAAUUCUCCCUGAGUUCAGAGGCCGACAAACUAUAACUGGCCACAGAGAAAUGCUGUUAGUAGCCAUGUGGGGCAUGAAUCAUAGAAUCACCAAUGUUGGAAAAGAGCUACAAGAUCAUCUGCCUAUCA
rnacentral:lncRNA from 1 species